CAAUUGCACAAUGAACAGUAUAUGCAAGUCUUAUGUUCUUGCUAUAUUUAUUAAGUAUAGGAAUCCUUAAAUAUAAGCUGACAAAAAUAAAUCUUUUUUCGUUCUUAAAAGUUUUAAUUGGGUGAGAGGCUCAGAGCGGCUGAAUAGAAAAAUUCAUAUCCGAUCUCAGGAGUCUCAAUCGGAUGGGAGAUUUGGAGCGGC
rnacentral:lncRNA from 1 species